rnacentral:rRNA from 1 species
GAUGAACGCUGGCGGCGUGCCUAACGCAUGCAAGUCGAGCGAAGCACUUUGCUUAGAUUCUUCGGAUGAAGAGGAUUGUGACUGAGCGGCGGACGGGUGAGUAACGCGUGGGUAACCUGCCUCAUACAGGGGGAUAACAGUUAGAAAUGACUGCUAAUACCGCAUAAGACCACAGCACCGCACGGUGCGGGGGUAAAAACUCCGGUGGUAUGAGAUGGACCCGCGUCUGAUUAGCUAGUUGGUAAGGUAACGGCUUACCAAGGCGACGAUCAGUAGCCGACCUGAGAGGGUGACCGGCCACAUUGGGACUGAGACACGGCCCAAACUCCUACGGGAGGCAGCAGUGGGGAAUAUUGCACAAUGGGGGAAACCCUGAUGCAGCGACGCCGCGUGAGCGAAGAAGUAUUUCGGUAUGUAAAGCUCUAUCAGCAGGGAAGAAAAUGACGGUA